GGGAAGUACAAAGUUCCAUCUUGAAUUGAUGCGUAGACCGACAUGACAGUAGCCUAAGCUUAAAGCUACAGUCUGAGAUCUGGGAAUAAUGGAGGAUCAGAUGGUGACAAGGGUCUCAGCAGGGUCCGGCAGGCCAGGGAAGACCAGUCUGACAGAGCAACAGUCUUCCAACCACCUUCCACCUCCCCACCACCACCAACUGAAGGCCCGUCAUCGGAUCUCCAUUCUCCCAGUGAGGGGGUUCGAUGCCAGCUGCCCAGCAUCUGAGGAGCAUUCCUCUGAGACGAGGCCUACGCCUACCCCAAACUAUUCAAUAAAAUUACAUAUUGUAUUCUAUCUCUGUUGUCAUUCAGUUUUGCCUGCAAUCAGUUUAUUAAAUUGAUUGCAGAACACUAGUUGAACCAAGAUGCUAACAGCACACUCAGUGAAAGCAUAGGAAAAGUUUGAGUGUGAAAUAAUUCCG